GCCCGGGUGGUGAAACUGGAAAACACGGCGGUCUCAGACACCGCAUGCUGCGGGUUCGAAUCCCGCCCUGGGCA
rnacentral:tRNA from 1 species